rnacentral:rRNA from 1 species
AGACGUAGGGGGCGAGCGUUGUCCGGAAUUACUGGGCGUAAAGAGCACGUAGGCGGGUUAAUAAGUCAGAUGUGAAAGACCGAGGCUCAACCACGGGGUUGCAUCUGAAACUGUAAAUCUUGAGGGCAGGAGAGGAAAGUGGAAUUCCUGGUGUAGCGGUGAAAUGCGUAGAAAUCAGGAGGAAUACCAGUGGCGAAGGCGACUUUCUGGACUGACCCUGACGCUGAGGUGCGAAAGCGUGGGUAGCAAACAGGAUUAGAUACCCUGGUAGUCCACGCUGUAAACGAUGGAUACUAGGUGUGGGAGGUAUCGACCCCUUCCGUGCCGCAGCCAACGCAAUAAGUAUCCCGCCUGGGGAGUACGGUCGCAAGGCUGAA